rnacentral:lncRNA from 1 species
UAAAAGCAUGAAGUUUCCUUGUCCCGGACGGAAGCUAGGAGCAGAUAAACACUGCAUUUUAUUGGAAAGGAAAAAAAAAGAUCUUUAUGUAAGAUAUAAAUAGUGUUGGUGAGUAAUGAGGUAAUCUGAACGAAAAUGUUUGGCAUUAUUCAGUUUCUGAUUGCCAUGUUAAAAUGUGCUAGAUGUGCAACAAUAUGACCUGUGCUACUAUAGUCUAACCUUAGAACAAAAAAAAUAUAAUUGCACGGAAUAAAAAUAAAUAAAUUCCUGGGCUGUUCAUUUACGAAUUGAUGGUCCAAAAAGGACCCACCCUAGCCAAGUUGUGAUGAAUCCCGUGUUGCAGAAGCAGCAUUGCUUAUUUCAUUGAUAUUGAUUCAACCAAACACCCUGAACCAUUUGCUGACCAGCCUGUACCAGAGCAUCCAAUUGGUGAACAAAACUUGGAGAAAUGAAAUGAAUUUGAGGCCAGCAGAGGCUCGACGUGUUGGUGGAUGGCCUAUGAUGAUGGACGACGUGCUGGAAGUGGGCAAUAUAAUUUAGAUAAUCAAAAUCAACAGUUCAAAUCACUAGAAAACCUCUUAAAUCUAAUGAACAAUAUUAUUUAGAACAUCUCUCAUCCUUUCCCUCUCUGUACCGUCGGUCCUGUCCUUCCCACUCCCCGUGACCCCAUCGCUCUCUCCUCUCACUCACGCUGCCUUCACCUUCGACACUUCUUCCCUCUCACUCACGCUGCCGUCACCGUCGACACUUCUUCCUUUCCGGGACUAUAGCAUAAGCACGAUCUAUAUGCCAGUGAAUAAUAGGAGAAGAGUUUCCUCACAAUUGGGAAAAAACGAUGAACAAAUCUUCUAUUUUUUUCUGUCUUUGUUGUUCAAUCUUAAUAGGCCUCCAUGUAAAAGCCCAUCGACAUCCGCCGAACAUUCGCCGAAACGAAAGCCCGGCACCGGAAAAAAAAAACAUUCGCGGUCGCUUCUUUCUUCUUGCCCAAUCCAACUCCAAACUCUCCAUCCAGUGGGAAAAAAAAAACAAAAAGGGUACCGGAAGCGGCGAAAGCCUCGCCCCCCGCCGCUCUCGCAUCGUCUCCGGAGCGCACGUCAGAUCAGGUGCGCCGCGCCCCCCUCGCCUAAGCUGCGACGACCAUCCAUCGAACAGGUACCACUCGCCGCUGCCCCUCCUUUCCCUUCCUGCUGCGCCGUGGAACCCUCUAAGCGAUUUGGAUUUGGAUCUCACCUCGCUCCUUCCCGUGGCGAUACGACUCGCCGUGACUUUGAUCCGUGGCGGUGGCUCUGCGGGUGCAGGAAGGAU